rnacentral:lncRNA from 1 species
AGAGAGAGUAAAACAUAAAACAGUGGUAAAGUGUGGAGGGGAUAUGAUGUAGCCAAAAGAUAACAAGGAAUAGAUACUUAGAAUAAAUAAAUCUAAUGCACAGGCUGAGAUUACAGUGAGUAAGAUCAUAUUAGACUAAGAAUUGUUAUUUAAAGAGCAGAUUCUAAUUGUUAUUGUCAAAAACAUAACUAUAUAAAGUGAUAUGUUAAUUUUCUUCACCAUAGUAAACAUUUUACUUUGUAUGUAUCCCACAAUAUCAUAUUGAAACCUUCAAAUAUGCACAAUAAAAUUAAUUUUAAAUAGUCCAUCCAAUAAUAAAAUGUCUUCAUCCUGAUAAGGCACAAUGAACUCAUUAUAAAGCUGGUUCUCAGAUGUUCUUCUAGGUACUAAGGGUAGUUGUUGAACAAAGCAGAUUCAGGAGGUUUCUUAUCAGAAACCCAUACAACAAAUAAUACACCAUUGCUACAUAAUUAAAAUUCCAAUAAAUAAUAGCAAAUAACAUAUAGGCAAAACUAUUUCAGUUAGUGGACUAAACUGUUAUAGUUACUGGGGAGACACUGAAAAACUCUUGAACACCAACUAAGUAUUCCACAAAAAGAUGUGACUCAUGCCUUUCGAAUACCCCCUUCUAAUUUUCAUUGUGUCCACUGAAGGGAGUGUUUGUUUCAGGCUUUUUCAGUGUCCAGAAAACUACAAUAGUUAUGCUAUGCUGUCAAGAUGUGCUGUGGAACUGUGAGAUGCAAAACUUUUGACAUUUUGCUAAAGUUUUGAUUGUUAGACAAAGUUAGAGCAAAAAUAACAAUGAGAAAGCUCACCUUUCAGGAUUGUUAGAGUAAAAUGGUACCAGAAGAAAUAGUAUGGCAAGAAAUCUUGUGAUGGUAGUGCAUUAUUUUCAGCCUAACAUAAAACGUUGAGGCUUUUAUCACAGGGCAGCCAGUGGGACAGGAUUUGGGUGAAAACUCUCAUUCUUAGUAGGUUGCUUACCUUUGUUAAAGUUGCAUCCUGAAAGAAAGGCAACACAUUGAGAUUAUGAGACUCAAAAAUCCAGGUGUUUCUCUCCUCAGUUCACUUACUUUACUUACUGAAGAUUUUUUCCUAUACAUGAAACUAAGCAAACCAUCUGUUUUAUUUAGUUUUUGCAUCAUUGUGACCAAAUGACCCACUAAGAACAUUUUAAGGGGAGGAAAAGUUUAUUUGAGGUUCAUGGUUUCAGAGGUCUCAGUCCAUAGACAGCCAACUCCAUUACUCUGGGUGUGAGGUGAGGUAGCACAUCAUGUGGGAAGGACCUGGUGGAGGAACAGCUACUCAGCUCAGGAUGGGGUCAAAAGUGGUGGGUGGAAGGGCCACAGGGAAGAUGCACCUUUCCAGAGCAUACCACCCCUCACUGACCUUCUGCAGCCAUGCCCCGCCUGCCUACAUUUACCUCCCAGUUAUUUGAUUCAUACAGGAAUGGACAGGUUAGGUUAUAGCUCUUAAAGUCUAAUUAUUUUAUCUCUGAAUAUCCUUUCAUUAACUGGGGCUUUGGGGUAACACCUCAUAUCCAAACCAUAAAAUAAUGCGAGUUAUAUUACAAUUUAAUGGUAGUCAGUCUAACUCCCCAUGGAAAUCAUGGAAUCUCUGGAAAAUUCCUCAUCAUCCAAUACUAUUAAUCAAUGUGAUAGAAAUAAUUGUCUUAGCAUUUGGACAAUAAAACAAACAAAGCAAAGUGAAAGGAAAUAAUAUGAUACAAAAAUCACUACCCCUUGAUGUAAGGACAAAUGGGUGGAUGGAUAAGUGUGUCUGAGAAAAUACUAACGACUUCAUUUUUUUUAGCAGUGAGAAAUUGAGAUACAUUCACCUCACACAACAUGAAACCAUAAAACCGUGUCCAAUGUUUGGUCACGUCACUCUCCCAUCUUUUUCCAUUAAUAGCUCCAAAACUGAUCCUGAUACUAAAUGCUGACUUUUCUAGCCUUAAGAAAAGGAGAGAAGAGAAGGCAAUAAAUUGAGUUUUGCAUUUGAGAAAAAUCAAGUGAGAAUGUUCAUAGCAGAGCCGGUUGGAGAUGGGGAGCUCACUCCCAGUUGGACAGUGGUUCUUAACACAUGAAUUCCAAAAACACUUCAAGUGUGAAAGACAGAGGUCUUCAUUGGUAAAAAUGACCAAGCAGAGGAGCAUCAUCAUCUUCCAGUCAUGUGAACAGAAACUUUAAAGAUAUCUAUCUCAGUUGCAGGAUUCCCAGCAUACAACAUGAGUUAAGGGAUAAUAAUGCUAAUUAAUUUUGAGUAGUUAUUACUAAAUGAAUAUAUGGGUAAAAUAAACAUUACUACCAAGAGUAGGAAGAAAAGAACAUUAUGAGUCUGAAACGAUGCAUCAAAUUAUAAAGAAUUAGAACAACAAGUAACUGGCAAUUCCAUUUCUAAUACUGUAUUGAACUUCACUAUAAAGAAGACUGGCGGCUGUAUCAGAAGUCUAUAGCUUGGAGAAUAAAACUGCUCCAAUUUCCAUUCAGGUUGACAAUAAAUCAUGGAGAUAACUGAUGGUAUAAUUUACACCAAAACAUGUCAAAAUAUAUGUAAGACAAGAUAUACCAUUGGAACACACACCUGGAGGAGUGUUCUGCAGUUAAUGCCAUUUUAUUUCCUUCAGCAUGCUUAGCACAAUGGAGGACACAGUGUAUUUGAACAUAGAAGCCCAGGAAUUCCAAGUGACUGUCCCUCUCACCAGAGUCAUAGUCACAAGAAUCUUUGGGGAACAAACAACCUGAACUCCAGUACACAUUUAGACUCUAAACUGGAGCACAAUGUGUAAUUGUAAAUUAUUUAAAACUUCCAGUGAAUUCAGUGCAGGGUGCAUUCACAUCUGUCUUGAUAAAUAACACGUUUUUCUUCAUGUACAGAAUUAUAAAAGCCAUAACCAGUUCAUCUUGAACAAACCCGUCCUUCUUUCUGACACAUUAUUCAGCUCCAUUAUUUUGGAAAGAUCAACUUACAGAUCACCCCAAAAUAUUCAGGCCCUGGAGAUGAUAUUAUUAAGAAAACAUUCCAUUAGUAAAUCCUGCCAUGCAGGAUGCAGAUAUUCCACUUUCAACAUGUUAAAACUUGUUUACAUCACAUUUUAUUCUCCUCUCUCAUGAAAGAACAUUUUUUUCUGCAAUUUUCAAGGCAUUUAGAUUGCUGACCUGGAUAUGCCUCUCAACAUAAUAAUCAUGGAAAAUAAGGUAAUUUUGUAUUUUUUGUCCUGGCUGUGCUUCAAAGGUUUUAAUUAAUUAUGUGAGAUGAUUAAGAAUGGCCUGAGAGAAAAAAAUAAUCUAAAAAAUAUUUUGAUUAUGAGCUUCGUUCCUUGGGUCCUAGUUCCCAAAAUUUUUUGUUUUUGUUUUUGUUUUUGCAGAUAAAAUAAAACAUUUUGACUCAAUGUCUGUGUGUGAACUUUGAAAGUUAGCCAGGCACUAAAGCACAUAACGAAACAAGUGACCUUUUCAUCCUUCAGUGAUAGCUGUAUAUGAUCUCAGAUCCCCAGGAUGCAUCCUUGGUACAGAGUUAUGUCUAAUGAUCUUGCUUACAAUGUCUCAGUAUGUAACUGGUUUGGAGAAAGCAACAACCUUUCUAUUUAACCAACGAAUCAAUGUAAUAAGACCUUUGUUGAAAACUGAUACCAUCUUUGUAAUAAAACCAAAGUAAAUUCAACAAAAUGGAGAUUCACACCAAUCUCAAUUAAACUAGGGCCUUACCUUGUUGCUAUGCAUACUUAAAUCACCCAUAAGAUGUAAAUAUGAGUGUGCCUAUGCAUUAUCAGGAUUCAUAUGAAAAAUUUGUCAUUAAAUCUUACUUUUAUUAAAAUUUUAAAUAAGAUACAUAACAGUAUUUCACUCUGUUAAGAAAUUUAUGACAAUACUUUAUUCUUAUGGUUUUCUUAAAUAAGAAACUGAAAUGUAAUUUAGAAUCAAUAAAUAUAAUUCAAGUUCAGUUUUUGUGUCAUUGAAUUAACUUCAAAUCUUGCCUUUAGUAUAUAAUAAUCAACUGUGGAAAGGCAACUUCCAG